CCCCUCCAUUUCGGUUUAUCCAAUGGUUGUAGAAGCCUCACAAAAGUCAUUUAAAACUGUCCAAACAACCUACGGACCGUCUCACUUCAUCUCCCUUCACUCACCGUCCAUAUUCAGAGACCCAAAUCCUAGCCCGCUCUAAAUUCCUCACCAUCUACUGUGGCGGCGCCACCUCAAACCAACUCCAAAUUUACACCACAGAACCCGUAUGCCCUCCCCUUUCCCAAUCUGUGACUAGUUUCCUUCGAAUCCCAUUAGAGUGUCUCGAAUCUUCGAUUGAAGCAAUCAGGCCAGAACCCUAAAAACCCCAAAUCUGCCAAAUAUUAUCAUGCUUAUACUUGUGUAUUAUAAAUACAAGAUAAAUCGGGCAACCUUUCAUAUUUACCCAGUAUGAUUAUCAUCAAGUUUCAAUGAAAGAUUAGGGUUGAAAUUAGAUUUAUUCGACCGUUCUCAACGAGAACACACAAUUAAUGCCAAUUUCGGGUAAAAAUCGAGGGUUUUGAAGAUCCUUUCAAGUCCAUUGUCCCUCCGCUCUUUCUAGGUAUUUGUUCGGCCAUUUUCUUUCUUUCGUCUUUCGUUUUAUUCUGAAUCUUCAUCUCCUUCUGAUUUUUUCCUUUUUCUUUCUUGUUUUUUCUAUCGCCUCUGAAUGGAUGCCAUUUUAAAGUUUUUUUUAGUUAGUAUGUUUUAGUUUAUUUAAUUAUGUUGUUGUUAUGAAAUAAUAUAAGAACAAGAACAAUAAUACAAGAACAAGAAUAAUAGAGAGAAAAG
rnacentral:lncRNA from 1 species